GGAUGGGACUGGACCUCCACACAGCCCUGGGGAGUAUGUGCCAAGCACCAGGACAGUCCUAUGAAGUGUCUUGCUUCAAAUGCCACAGGGGAGCUCUGGUGUGUAAGGCCAGAACACUCAGGAAAGGCUUGAAACUGGAUGGCUGGUGUGGCUGCAUUAGGAAAACGAAGAAAACCAGGAAGGUGACUUCCCAGGACAGAUUCUGCCUCUUUGGAGAGAAUGAAUUUCAAGAGAUGAAAUUGGGAUGCUGAGGAACUGCUGGCAAGUUAUGGCAUUCUUGUGAAGAACACCUCCGAAGAAAGUACCUCCAUGUGAACAUCCAGCUAGAACCAGUUCCCAAGAAAGCAGGCCUAAGAUUUUUAAAGAUAAACACAAACCUAUUGUAAAUUAGUUGUAUAAACCAAAAAUUUCUCAUGGGUCUUUAAGAUAACUGGAAAGAUUCACCAAGAAAUUUCUUUUUUUCACAUCUGUAAUUUGACUUAGACAUUUUGAGCUACUAAGUCAUUAUAGUUGAAAUGCAAAAUGAGUGUUAUAAGCGCAUCUAGUACCACCAAAGAAUAUGACAUUAGCUAUUGAUUUGUGUAUAACUUUGAUGAAAUGGGGUGUUUAUGGGUCCUUUAUCAAAUUAGUAACUCAUUUAAAUUUUGACCACAUUGGAAGAUUUGUAAUUAUACCAUGUAAGGAACAAACCUGACAAUGGCCUUGCAAAAAGAUACUGAUUGGAAAUAUUUCUAGGAAGAUGGAGGUUAAAAGACUUUCCACCUCUUCUUGUAUUAUGUGAUCCUGAGAGAGGAUACCAGGAAGGGUGAGGUCUAGGAGAACAGAGGUCUUCUCAAGGAGACCCCAAGGAUACACCUGUGGGGUCCUCCCCACGGUGACUAGGCUCUCGGGAAUUUGUGGACUUAACACUCUGGGACCUGGAAAUUUCUUCUUCUGUGAAAUUCUGUAGUUCUGUGGGAGCUGGAACAGCUUCUUCAGCUUGAUUCAAAUUGACCAAUGAGAAUGGUACCUGUGGGUUGGAACUUUUUCACUGGAGUAUAAAAAAGGGAAAGACCAAGCCAGUGGGGGAGCAUGGCCAUUUGAGAUUUUUAGAUUUGCUGUAGAUCCACCAGCUGAAUAAAGCCCUCUUCCUCUUAAAUACAGUGUUUGGGUGUUGCAUCU